GGCCUCGUAGCUCAGCUGGUAGAGCAUGCGCCCACAAAGCGUAGGCGGCGUCCAUGCCUGAUGAGUUCGAAUCCCACCGAGGCUG
rnacentral:tRNA from 1 species